rnacentral:rRNA from 1 species
GAUGAACGCUGGCGGCGUGCCUAAUACAUGCGAGUCGAGCGAACAGACGAGGAGCUUGCUCCUCUGACGUUAGCGGCGGACGGGUGAGUAACACGUGGAUAACCUACCUAUAAGACUGGGAUAACUUCGGGAAACCGGAGCUAAUACCGGAUAAUAUAUUGAACCGCAUGGUUCAAUAGUGAAAGACGGUUUUGCUGUCACUUAUAGAUGGAUCCGCGCCGCAUUAGCUAGUUGGUAAGGUAACGGCUUACCGAGGCAACGAUGCGUAGCCGACCUGAGAGGGUGAUCGGCCACACUGGAACUGAGACACGGUCCAGACUCCUACGGGAGGCAGCAGUAGGGAAUCUUCCGCAAUGGGCGAAAGCCUGACGGAGCAACGCCGCGUGAGUGAUGAAGGUCUUCGGAUCGUAAAACUCUGUUAUUAGGGAAGAACAAAUGUGUAAGUAACUAUGCACGUCUUGACGGUACCUAAUCAGAAAGCCACGGCUAACUACGU